AUGGGGGAAUUUCUUUUAGAGGAGAUGGGUCUCACAUACACCAUGGAAGAACAUGGCUGCUAUGGAUUUCCCCCCACAAGGAAGAGGAAACAAAGCAGAGGACGUUCCCUGAACACACUUGAAUGUUUGAAUCCCAGUUUCAGCUGGAGAGAGACCUGGAACCUGGUGCUCCAACCAAAUGCUGUAGCUGGGACCAUCCAUCUUGGAGAAAUGGUCCAGGCCAACUGGAAAGUAUCCACAGGUGCCAUGGCCACAUCGAGUCCAAGGAAACAGUGCCAAGCACCCAGAGUCACAGGGGCAGCAACCAAGAAGAUGGUUCCCGAGGUUCACCUUUGCCUGGCCUCGUUUCCCACUGCACCCUGGUUUGUGCCUUCUGCUUACUCGGGAUGCUGCCUUGCCUUUCAGUUUUCCCUCCCACUGUGUGUCUACUGGACAUGCUCUUUCAAACUGACAGCCAGUGGUGGAGAGUGAUCACAACAGAAAAGAAGAGCAGACCAAGAAUUUGGUGCCAAGUCAGAAGCCCAGUACAGCAGAGUGCAGGCUGUGAUUGAGGGGUUUUAAAGAUUUAAACCCUAAAACCACAGGUAGUGGCUCCACAUUAGUAAAGCAAAUUCUCAGAGUGCCCCUGACUGGCUGCCAAGGUCUGGAUUUGCAUAGGGGCAGCACAGAGUCCCCUGGAAGGACUCUGCUGCAUGCUGGGUGGCCACCUGAGAUGACAGGUCUAACGCUUCUGCUGUGUGGGUAGAGUCUGGACUUUGAAGCCUAGCAAAGUUGGUGGGCUUGGUGACCCAACCAGGAUUGGUCAGCCUCUAGAAGAUGGUUUCAACCACCCACUUCACAAGGAGACUCAGAAGGUUAGAGGAAACCUUAAAAACUCACUGGUGUAAUUCUUUAUUAAAUGUAGGAAAAGGAGUCUUAUAGAGAUUUUCUGCUUGCCCAGUGGAUCAUCUGGAGUUAGAAUCCAAUUCUCUUGACAGCCCAGAACUCUUUAAAAUUAUAACACAUUGCAAAUUCAUCCUCGCUGAGAAAAACCACCUUUCCCCUUUCUGAAAACCACCCACAGCGGCAUGCAGAGUCUGCAUUCAGUGGGACAGGUUGGUGGCACCCACUAAGGCCAGAGUUCUGUUUUAAAAAGUUGUCUUUUAAGAACUUCUCUGCCCCCGUCCCCACUUGCUCCCUCUCUCAGAGACUGAGUCCCCUAGAAGAACUGUGCUGAAACUGAGAUUUGUGUGUCCCCAAGAGUUAAGAAAGUGCUCUCAGAGGAAUGGGGCAGGUGGGCGGAAUGGGGAGAGAAGUCAAGCAAGUGUGUGAUUCGGGCCAGCCCGGAGGAGGAGAAUGUAGCCUGACCCCACAGAGCACCUCUGAAGUGGAGGGCACCCUUUCAUCCUCUUGACCUGAGGCAAGGAGGUUAGUGUUUCAUACCCCUGCCUCCUGGCCAAGGGCC
rnacentral:lncRNA from 1 species